rnacentral:snRNA from 1 species
UGUCCUCUUGCUCGUUUU